UAGGAAAGGAAACUCUCCAGAGUCAAGA
rnacentral:sRNA from 1 species